CAUUUGCCUGCUGGGGGCAGAUGAAGUGGAUGUGGGUGUCGAUGCCACCGGCCGUGAUGAUCUUGCCCUCGCCAGCCACAACAUCCGUACAACUGCCGACCACCAUGUUGGGCGUUACGCCGUCCAUGACGUCCGGGUUACCCGCUUUUCCGAUGCCAACAAUCAUACCAUCCUUUACGCCAAUGUCGGCCUUGUAGAUGCCGGUCCAGUCAACGACAAGGGCGUUGGUCACCACCAUGUCGAGAGAUUCAGAGUCGGGCCGGCCCGUCGCUUGUCCCAUGCCCUCUCGCAACG
rnacentral:sRNA from 1 species